UUGUAGUUUAAAGGUUUUUAUUUUCCAAUGAAAAGAGUUUCAGAAGUGGCAGCAUACAGUGGAGGUGCACUAUGUCAAUACAAAGACAAAUCACAAUCCCAAGCCCGAGUUGGGACAAUGACACAGAACGUACAGACUACACAGUGUGUUAGAGCUCACUUCUCUUUGCUAAUUUUGGACCAGGUAUUUACACUAUUCCGUUUUCUUCUUCAGAACUAAAAUUGCACAACUCACUAUAGCCUUUUUGCUCUUGAGUAUAAAUGAAGAAAGGGGGGGGGGGGGUAUUGGAAGACUUGAUGUGUUCCAUUCGAUCUGGUUAAUUAGGAAAGCAGCAGAUAGGCGACUAAUGCUCUAAGACGUGACAACACACAGACUCAGUGCUGUGACAAUCUAUGACAACACACAGACUCAGUGCUGUU